rnacentral:rRNA from 1 species
UACGGAGGGUGCGAGCGUUGUCCGGAAUCAUUGGGCGUAAAGGGCGCGUAGGCGGCCUCUGCAAGUCGACUGUGAAAUCUCCGGGCUUAACCCGGAACGGUCAGCCGAUACUGCAGGGCUAGAGUGCAGAAGGGGCAACUGGAAUUCUCGGUGUAGCGGUGAAAUGCGUAGAUAUCGAGAGGAACACCUGCGGCGAAGGCGGGUUGCUGGGCUGACACUGACGCUGAGGCGCGAAAGCUAGGGGAGCGAACGGG